UAGUGAGUUUGAUCCUGGCUCAGAACGAACGCUGGCGGCAGGCUUAACACAUGCAAGUCGAGCGGGUGUCUUCGGGCAUCAGCGGCGGACGGGUUAGUAACGCGUGGGAACGUGCCUUUUGCUCUGGAAUAGCCCUGGGAAACUGGGGGUAAUACCGGAUGUGCCCUGAGGGGGAAAGAUUUAUCGGGAAGGGAUCGGCCCGCGUUGGAUUAGGUAGUUGGUGGGGUAAUGGCCACCAAGCCGACGAUCCAUAGCUGGUUUGAGAGGAUGAUCAGCCACACUGGGACUGAGACACGG
rnacentral:rRNA from 1 species